CUACGGGAUGCUCCAGUAGGGAAUUUUCGACAAUGGGGGAAACCCUGAUCGAGCAAUGCCGCGUGAAUGAAGACGGUCUUCGGAUUGUAAAGUUCUUUUAUUGGAGAAGAACGGUAUGACUAGGAAAUGAGUCAUAUGUGACGGUAUCCAUUGAAUAAGCCCCGGCUAACUACGUGCCAGCAGCCGCGGUAAUACGUAGGGGGCGAGCGUUAUCCGGAAUUAUUGGGCGUAAAGAGUGCGUAGGCGGUUUGUUAAGUCAUUUGUAAAAGAUCUCAGCCUAACUGAGUAAGGCGAAUGAAACUGGCAGACUUGAAUACGGUAGAGGUAAGUGGAAUUCCAUGUGUAGCGGUGGAAUGCGUAGAUAUAUGGAGGAACACCAAUGGCGAAGGCAACUUACUGGGCCGGAAUUGACGCUGAGGCACGAAAGCGUGGGGAGCAAACAGGAUUAGAUACCCUGGUAGUC
rnacentral:rRNA from 1 species